rnacentral:rRNA from 1 species
GGGGGAACUGAAACAUCUAAGUACCCCGAGGAAAAGAAAUCAACCGAGAUUCCCCCAGUAGCGGCGAGCGAACGGGGAGGAGCCCAGAGCCUGAAUCAGUGUGUGUGUUAGUGGAAGCGUCUGGAAAGGCGCGCGAUACAGGGUGACAGCCCCGUACACAAAAAUGCACAUGCUGUGAGCUCGAUGAGUAGGGCGGGACACGUGGUAUCCUGUCUGAAUAUGGGGGGACCAUCCUCCAAGGCUAAAUACUCCUGACUGACCGAUAGUGAACCAGUACCGUGAGGGAAAGGCGAAAAGAACCCCGGCGAGGGGAGUGAAAAAGAACCUGAAACCGUGUACGUACAAGCAGUGGGAGCCUCUUUUAUGGGGUGACUGCGUACCUUUUGUAUAAUGGGUCAGCGACUUAUAUUCUGUAGCAAGGUUAACCGAAUAGGGGAGCCGAAGGGAAACCGAGUCUUAACUGGGCGUUAAGUUGCAGGGUAUAGACCCGAAACCCGGUGAUCUAGCCAUGGGCAGGUUGAAGGU